rnacentral:rRNA from 1 species
GAUGAACGCUGGCGGCGUGCUUAACACAUGCAAGUCGAACGGACUUUACAUGAAGCCUAGCGAAUGUAAAGUUAGUGGCGGACGGGUGAGUAACGCGUGGGUAACCUGCCUCAUACAGGGGGAUAACAGUUAGAAAUGACUGCUAAUACCGCAUAAGCGCACAGUAUCGCAUGAUACAGUGUGAAAAACUCCGGUGGUAUGAGAUGGACCCGCGUCUGAUUAGCUAGUUGGUAAGGUAACGGCUUACCAAGGCGACGAUCAGUAGCCGGACUGAGAGGUUGAACGGCCACAUUGGAACUGAGAUACGGUCCAGACUCCUACGGGAGGCAGCAGUGGGGAAUAUUGGGCAAUGGGGGAAACCCUGACCCAGCAACGCCGCGUGAAGGAAGAAGGCCUUCGGGUUGUAAACUUCUUUUACCAGGGACGAAUAUUGACGGUACCUGGAGAAAAAGCAACGGCUAACUACGUG